AUUGAACGCUGGCGGCAGGCCUAACACAUGCAAGUCGAGCGGAUGAAGGGAGCUUGCUCCUGGAUUCAGCGGCGGACGGGUGAGUAAUGCCUAGGAAUCUGCCUGGUAGUGGGGGAUAACGUCCGGAAACGGGCGCUAAUACCGCAUACGUCCUGAGGGAGAAAGUGGGGGAUCUUCGGACCUCACGCUAUCAGAUGAGCCUAGGUCGGAUUAGCUAGUUGGUGGGGUAAAGGCCUACCAAGGCGACGAUCCGUAACUGGUCUGAGAGGAUGAUCAGUCACACUAGAACUAGGACACGGUCCAGACUCCUACGGGGGGCAGCAGUGGGGAAUAUUGGACCAUGGGCGAAAGCCUGAUCCAGCCAUGCCGCGUGUGUGAAGAAGGUCUUCGGAUUGUAAAGCACUUUAAGUUGGGAGGAAGGGCAGUAAGUUAAUACCUUGCUGUUUUGACGUUACCAACAGAAUAAGCACCGGCUAACUACGUG
rnacentral:rRNA from 1 species